rnacentral:rRNA from 1 species
CCUACGGGAGGCUGCAGUGGGGAAUAUUGCACAAUGGGGGAAACCCUGAUGCAGCGACGCCGCGUGAGUGCGGAAGUAUUUCGGUAUGUAAAGCUCUAUCAGCAGGGAAGAAAAUGACGGUACCUGACUAAGAAGCCCCGGCUAACUACGUGCCAGCAGCCGCGGUAAUACGUAGGGGGCAAGCGUUAUCCGGAUUCACUGGGUGGAAAGGGAGCGUAGACGGCGAUGCAAGUCUGAAGUGAAAGGCGGGGGCCCAACCCCCGGACUGCUUUGGAAACUGUAUGGCUGGAGUGCAGGAGAGGUAAGUGGAAUUCCUAGUGUAGCGGUGAAAUGCGUAGAUAUUAGGAGGAACACCAGUGGCGAAGGCGGCUUACUGGACUGUAACUGACGUUGAGGCUCGAAAGCGUGGGGAGCAAACAGGAUUAGAUACCCUUGUAGUC